UACGUAGGCAGCGAGCGUUGUUCGUAAUUACUGGGCGUAAAGAGUGUGUAGGCGGUGCUCUAAGUUUGGUGUGAAAUCUCCCGGCUCAACUGGGAGGGUGCGCCGAAUACUGAAUGACUAGAGUGCGGGAGAGGAGAGUGGAAUUCCUGGUGUAGCGGUGAAAUGCGUAGAUAUCAGGAGGAACACCGGUGGUGUAGACGGCUCUCUGGACCGUAACUGACGCUGAGGCACGAAAGCGUGGGUAGCAAACAGG
rnacentral:rRNA from 1 species